UGGUCGGGAUAGCUCAGCUGGUAGAGCAGAGGACUGAAAAUC
rnacentral:tRNA from 4 species